rfam:Oryza sativa (indica cultivar-group) chromosome 2, whole genome shotgun sequence.
AAUAAGUACUGUUUUGCACUGUUAUAUUCAACAUUUGAUCGUUCGCUUUAUUUGUUUUUUUUAUAUAAUUAGUAUUUUUUUUGUUAUUAGAUGAUAAAACAUGAAUAUUGCUUUAUGUGUGACUAUUUUUUAAAAAUAUUCAUAAAAUUUUUAAAUAAUAUAGACGGUUAAAUGUUAGACACGAAUACCCAUGGUUGUAUUUAUU